rnacentral:lncRNA from 1 species
UUCUCCGUUUUUUUCAAACCAAUAAAGACGAUCCGUUACGGCCGGUAUUAUAGUUGAGAAUUUCUGGAAUAAAACGCACCGGCACGCGUUCGAGAGGUAAACUAACGGGCGAGCCUUCUUUUUGCUCGCUUUCUUAUACCGGUAGUGUUAUUUUAAAUUAAAAUGUGUAUCCAUUUGCUUUGGAAUUGCUCGUCACACAACCGGUCACUGUGACAUCGCGUGAUCGGACAUCUCGCGUUGUUUGAGAUUUAUCGGUGUUUCUGGAUGAUGUAAUUUUACGUUCGGUACUUCAAUGGACGAUGGAAAUUGAUUAAUACUGCGUCGUUCGUGGAGCCGUUUAUUUUUAUCCUGGCAAUGAUUUUUCUACGUCGCGGCGGAAAUUUUGUCGAAGAAAGCUAAUGUUUGAUAAGUGCGACAUUUUUAAUCGAUGUUCAACUAACGGAUACUUCAGCGUGAGCGUACAAUUUAAACUCUUUAAAAACGAUGUGAGAUGUUUGAAUGCAAUUUAAAAUUUUUAUUUUUACUCCUUGUAUACCGUUUCUGUAGCACGUAAUUCGGUUACCGUUGGUGAAAAGUUGAAUAAUGGUAGUAGCGUAAGAUCGUUAUAUAGCUGCCUUUUAUAUGACAUGUUGAGUGAACUUGACGCGCACUUUCACGCACGCAGCACUGAUUCUCCGUAGUUACAAUAGGCAGAUUUAACGGUUAUAAAUCCAGAAAUUUAGUAGUUCAAAGCUUCCAUUUUACGAAUGUGUAGAUUCUCAAAUUUUUUAAUUUUAAUUAGUCCGGAAUUUUUAAUCCGCAGUUCGAAUAAAAAAAUUCUCAGCAUCAAGUUUUUUGCAGACAAGUACACAUUUCGAUUUGACCCAAAUAUCGAUAACGACUCAAUAUUGUUCCAUAGCUGUAGUAAAAUGAAAAAUUAACUUAUUGAUUGUCAGAGAUCUAAAAUAUAACAUCUAUCGUGAGUCGUGCGACACACUUCAUUGCCAACGAUAACAGUAAAAGCGUGCAACUACGGUCGCACGAUAACGAGCGUCAGUCAGUGCGUCAAUUUGCGAAAGUGUUAAUAAUAAAAUUCACACAUCGAUACGACGCAAAAAUAGUUAAAUGCUUUUCGUUACGCCUGACUGUUUGUUUUAUUUAUGUCGUGGUCUCCUCUUUAUACUACGUUCAUUUCAGAGUAUCCGUACGUGCUUUUCUUCACGUAUAAUUUGUACCACGUCAUGUCGUUAGCGUUCUUUUUUUUUGCAUUCUAAUACCGUACGAAUAUCAACUUCAAAUUUUCGAACUGUUCAACAAAAUUUCAAUCUUCUAAUACUUACUUCGCUUCCUAUUAUUUUACAAUAUUAUUUCCUAUUAUUUUUUUACAAUUAAAUUAAUAUUUUUUACAAUAAAAUUGCAUCUUAACAAUUGUAAUAUAUGAUUUAUAUGUUUUAACUGUUUUGCAUCGAUAAAUAAAUAAAAGUUUAAAUAAUAAAAUUGCUACUUAUUAAGAAGAGAGUAUCAAUUUUGAAACUGAAAUUAAAACUGUAAUUGUUAUUAAAAUUGAAUAACCGCCUACAGUGGUUUCAUUCGUUUGAAUUUGGUGGGAAGCGAAGUUUCUCGAACUUUCCCGAACGAUCGCGUUUGAAACACACCUGUUGAGUUGUUUGAAAACAUUUCUUCCCUUGCUGACAAAGUAUGAGCGUAUACCAAGCUAGCUUUAAGUAAUUUUCGAUAUUCGUACGUCUUUUUGCUCGAGGCAAGGUUUCCAUUCACCGUUACCGAAAUUCACAAUUGUUUUUUCGCCGUGCAAAUUAAGCUGCUAAACCGGCUGUCAAAUAUCCUUCGGAUCUUUCAAAUCUUAUUCAUGAAAACAUUCUUUACGCCGUAUGUAAAUUACAAAUUUUUUAAUUUUUCAUUUAAAUACGUGCGUAUGAAAAAUGUUGUUUACGAAUGUUUCUAGUUUAUUAUCUGAUGUAUUUUGUUUUGAAUUAUUUUGAUUUAUUUAACCUGUGAAGUGAAAAAUAUUUAUUUGACGAAUUUCAUCAAAAUUCGAAUGUUUUAUUGACGGAAAUUUUUAUAACCGUGAGAAUUGUUGAUAAUUAUUGGCAUUUUAUGUUUAAUCUGUUCGCGACACGUCGCAAUCGCAGUCGCGAAUUGACGCGAGGGUGUAAUCACCCACCGGAAACGCCAAUUCGAUUAGGGUCGAUUGAUGGCACCGGUUCGAUCCAGCUCCGUGUUGCGCGUUGCACGAUGAAAAAUAGUCUUCGGCGUUAAAAAAAUUGAUCUACACUGAUUCAAAAAAUUGUCUAACCACUAUUAUUAUAACCAUAGCAUUUUAAUAAUCAACAAUAACUAAUCUAUAUAUACUCAACUAUUCCCCUUAACCUUUAAAGUCUAUAAUUUAUUUUUGAAACGUAGACUAAGGUCAAGUCUUGCAGAAAAGUUUUUAGUGCAUAUUUUAUGAAUUAAUAUUACGCAUAAAGUUAUAUUUCCAUAUUGUUAAUAAAUCAGGAAGAAAAUGAAGAACUGAAAUCUGUCGAAACAUUAAAAUUUCAAAUGCCGUAUAAAUAGCUAAUAGCAUUUCGUUCUGCAUAUUCAACAAUCAUUUGUAAGCAUUAUACACAUUACGUGGAUAUCAUGCGUCACUUUCACACAUUUGCUACCAUUUUCUGCGAUUUAGUGAGAACGUUAAAGUAUAAUGAGUAUGAGAAAUUAAUUACGCGGACAACAUAUUGACGUCGCUUCGUAAAUAUAGACUUUUUACCGUUACUACUUAUAAUUAUCAUAAACGAAACUUAUUUUUUAUAUGACUGUUGAUGUUUUCUUCUACGCUUAUCUUCAGGUUUCGUAACAUUUUCGAAAGCAAUAAACAUUUUGAAAAUAAUCGUCCAAUUUUUAUAAGGUCGGUAGGAACAUAGUUACUCGAUUAUUACCUAUCUCUCGUUAUAUUGCCAUUUUCAUAUGAAUUUAUAUAUUCACCGGUGGCGUUACUCCAGUGUCGAACACAGAAGCUUACAUCGAUCUCUGCAUAUUUUAGAUUAUUAGAGACUCUCGUUAUAUUACCGUUCGAGUUUCUAUGUAGCUACGAGGAUUUUUUAGGUACUGUGACGCUUUAUUGCAACAUUGCAGUGACGCGAUGUCACCACAUGUUAUAUCGCCACGCGUUAUUUUCCCUCGCGUUAUAUCGCCACACGUUGUAUUGCCAUGAAUUGUAACACAACUAAUUUCAUCGCCACGCUUAGUAUUCUGACAAAUUAUAAUAUUUCGUGUUGCAUUGUCACAAAUUGUAACAUCAAGUAUAUCGCCACGCGUUAUAUCGCCACACGUUAUAUUGCCAUGAAUUGUAACACAACUAAUUUCAUCGCUACGCUUAGUAUUAUGAUAAAUUAUAAUAUUUCGUGUUACAUUGUCACAAAUUGUAACAUCAAGUAUAUCGCCACGCGUUAUAUCGCCGCACGUUGUAUUGCCACGAAUUGUAACACAACUAAUUUCAUCGCUACGCUUAGUAUUCUGACAAAUUAUAAUAUUUCGUGUUGCAUUUUCACAAAUUGUAACAUCAAGUAUAUCGCGUUAUAUUGCCAAUCAUUGUAUCAUCACACGUUAUAAUGAAACAUUUGUACACAGGGAUUGUCAUAAGUCAUUCAAAACCCACAAAACCCCGAUAAUUUAUGCACCUGUAAAAAAUGAGAGAUUAUACGUUUCAUGUAUGCUCAAACUUAAAUUCUUCGUAUGUUUCGCACAGAUGUUCCGAUACAAUUUAAUCUUGGCAUCCAUAAAUUACAUUCAGAUUAAAAAAGUGGACUAUGCUCCGUUGCACGAUUUGUUUACCUCAUAAUCAUGUACUUAUUAUUCAAUAAAUUUUAGUAAUCAGUACAUAAACAAAACAUUAAUGCGGAGUAAAUUCUUUAAUCUUUAUUGACAUCGAAAUGGGUUAUUCGCGAUACGUAGAUGCGAUAAAAUUUAAAGUAAUCAUUUCCAAUAAAUUUCCAUCGAUCUGUCCUCGCAUCGACAAAGAUACGUCAUCGUAAAAAUUUCAAUAUGAAAAUGCUUUGUAUAAUUUUUUACAGAAUCUAGUACAAAAAAGUGUGACCUUUGAAACGUCUCCUUACUUGACCAUUAACUCAAGCGAGAUUAAUUAUACCUAAUAACAAUAAAUAGCGAAGGUAAAAAGCUACAUGAAAAAUUAGAUAACCGGUUCCGUGUAAUCGUCGUUACAAUCUUUUUUAAGGUAAUAAUGGUCCCUGAAGACGUUUCGGUAUCACGAUGCUCCGAGAAAAUGAAAUCGCAAGGGCCGUUCGCGUGCUGCUGACUAUUCUUGUUUUCGUUAAGUCGCGUUUCCAUAAAGGACACGUAAUCUCUUUGAGUGAUGUAAUGACGGUUUUCACUUUCCAAAUUGAUGUCCGGCAAAGUCGUUGGCUCACGUAACACGCGGAUAAGGAAGCGAAUCGAGCCUUUGCGAUCCUCUCGCGUUGCAUAUCUGCUGUUUGAUACUCGCAGGAUAAAUCAGUCUUUCGUGCGUGCUUACCCGGUCACGUGAUGCGCACGCGCAUGCGCGGUGGUCGAAAACGAAUUCGAAAAUGGUGAACAUUAAAAUGAUACAAAUUAAAUACACACGAGUUCAUCUGACGUAUUUUAUGCAAUAAUAAACUGUAAUUAUGCUUAAUACUCCUUAUAGUAUAAGUUUGUAUAAAUGUUCCAACUUAAUUACUUUAUCGUCUUGAUUACAGAGCUGAAUUUGUAUCUCGCAAUAAUUAUUCGAUUAGCGGUGGCAAAUGACUUUUUUUAUGUAUCUGUAUUGCUUAACACGGGUAUCGGGAGUUUAUAGUUCAGCCGAUAGAAAAUAGUGUAUAUUCAUGAGAUCGUUACAUAGUAAUUAAUAUUCCGAAUUGAACAUUUUUCGGUCGAACAUUCAAAUGGUAAGCAGUUAAUUCUGAAACGCUUCGCCGCUUUAAAAGUUCGUAUGUUAAGCAUAUUUACACGCUAUAAAGCGUAAAGUGUGAAGUAUUUGUCAAAUAUUCUGAAAAACAUUUUUAAAUAUUUACGGAAUAUUUAAGGAAUGUUUUGUGGAAAAAUUAUUCCGUAGAAUUGUUAUUCAUAUCGUAAAUAUUUUUAGAAAGUCCUUUUAACAUUGAAAUUAGUGAUGUUCGAUUUUGAAACUUUGUACACCUCAUAUUUUAAUCUUCUUUUAGCCUUGAAUUCUGAUUUAUAUUGUCGUUAAGUACUAGAAUACAAACGAGUGUACAUUUAUGUAACAACAUUCAAAUGUCUUCGUUAAUUUUUACAAGCUACUGUCGUUAUUUAUGCGUUCUAAGACUUUUCUGAAUCAUUAAAAAUUUGAAAUGAAUUCUUUCUAUAAUAACCCCCGAGGGAUAUUUUGCAUAAUUUACUAUAAUAACUUUAACCACAUAAUUUAUAUACUUGCGUGCUUAUUACGAGUCCACAGCGAAUUGCUGACACAGUCUUUUGUGCGUACUUGUCAACAAUAAUUACGACACGAGAUGAAGACGUAAUUGUGUUCUAAAAAUUGCUAUUAACCUUAGUUUUUACCUCGCUUCUUGUUAACCUAUUUUUGUAUUAAUAUAUUUUCUUCUUCUAUACAUAAUUCAAAGUUACGUUAUAUUCUUAAUUUACAAUUCAAGUUUCGUAUUCUAUAAUUUGAAUUACGAUAUGCGUCUAAUAGACAGUUAUAUCACCGCGGCUUAUAUGGUCACGUAGUGCAUAAAUUGUCGAAUGAAGUAAAUCCACAUUGUACUUAACACUGAAUUACGCCGAAUCGUAACUCAUUUAACUCGAAUUACAUUUGAUGAUUGAAAUUAUAGUUAAAUUAGAACUUAAACUGCUACGAGAUGAAAUAAGUAGCGAUAUGGUGCCAUGUUAGUUUUCCGUGAAAACGUGAUCAUGUUUCAUAAUGAAUGUCUCUAGUUGCAUCAACAUUAAGAUUCGGCUAAUCUCGUAGACAAGAUUCGUUGCAGCUCGUUUACGUGGUUUCAAGUUCGCCGAUUGGUACACGUGUUCCUACGUGGUUUCAAGCGUCAGCGCGUGAAUGAACAUUAUUAUAUCAUCGCAAUGUUUAGAGAAAUUUAUUGCGAGCGCAUAUCGAUGAAUCAUAUCAUGCGUGCAUAAGGUCGACAAUAUAAUCUUUACAAGUGCACGAAUGCACAUAAUGCGUUAACACAAUAGAUCAGUUAGCAUAUUCCGAACGUCAUUAAUCAUCCUGAAAAUUCAUGAAAUUGUUGACAUUUGAUUUACAAAUAGUAUCAGUCGGGUGACGGUGUAUUUUUUCGAAAGAGGAAAAAGUCGACAAGUACAUUGUAACAAGAGACAUUGUAAAUCGGACAUUUUCGAAUAAAUAUUCAUAAACCAUUCAUAUGUAAAUCCGUAUGCAUUUUAGCAUUUUUCUCAUAGAAGCUUAUUGAGGAAAUGUUACGGUCAUUAUCAUAUCUUGGAAUCUAUUUUUUGUCGAAUUCUUUUUCUCAAAAACGUUACAUGUCCGUUCGAUAAAUUGUUCGGAAAGUAUUAGGAAGUACGGUCUUUAUUCACCGUUCGAAAAUCAACCAUCCUGUACGAUCCGAUUCGCUGAACUGACCUCUCUACGUCUUCGUUCCACUCGCACGAUCGCGAGCGAUUCGUUGAAUUCGGUGUUCAUCGCGCGAGAAUCGAGGAUGGCCGAACGUAGCCGAACGGUGUUCGCUCGGCUGCACGUCACGCACGCAUCCAUAUAUACACGUGCGCGGGUUCCACGCGGCAAACCGACUUGCCGGCGAUUCUAUCCGAACACGAACGACAGCUUGCGCUAGGAGUCGUAUGAAAUUCGAUGGACACCAUUCGUCCGACUCAGGUGGCGAGAGCAGCAACAAGCGAUACGAUUGGCUCAGGCCGUCUCGGCUGAGCAGCGUCGCAACGUGUCUGAUUUUAGGCGUACCUCUAUCAAAAGGCUCGGCUAUAACUAUCAUCUAAGCUGGCGACGACCAGAUGAUGGGUACUAUUUCAGUUCGAUUUCUGCACUCUGUUUUGUGCCCUCGGUUCCGAAAACCUUGAUUGUCUUAUGGAAUUGAAUAUUUUAUUCGCUUCGUGACAGGCCGAUCACACCGGUGGUUUUGAACCUCGUGCGCGUGUCGAAAGAUGUAAGAUUUUAUUUUUGUUCGCUUUUUCUUCUCUUUUUUACUACUGCCUAUUCAUUUUAUACGCUGAUGUAACAUUUUCGUAAAAAGCGGUCGUUUAGAACUACAAGUUCUUUAGUCGCGUUUUAUAAAUGUGUAAUUUAAAAAAAAAACAUCGAACGAUUAAUUGAACUUGGAAAUAGUAGCGUUCUAAAUAUGUAAUCACGCUCUGUUACAUUGACGCAAUUCAUUUACAUUUGUUGAUUCCUACUUUUAUGUAAACGGUGAUUCGUAGGAACGGAAGAGAUUCGGAACGAAAUUAUUGAAGGAUCGAUUUUUUUUUUUUGAAAGAAAGGUGAGUUGUCCUGCGAGGAAAAUGUCCUAGUAAUUUGAAUAAGAAAUAGAAAGGAGAAAUUCCUGUUAUUACGGUUUUCGCUUACUCACUAUAAUUUUUCCAUCGAAUUAUUGUUUUUAUUUCUACAUAUUAUGUAAGUGAUACACGUAAUUGCUACUGGUCUAUAAAUCUUAAUAUUCUCACGUUUAUUCUCUUAUACUUUUAUUGCAUUUAAAUAUUUGAUUUAUUUUAUUAUUGUAACCUGUACAAAUACUGUACUAUAAAAGGGAUAUGUGUGCAUGUGUGAUAUAUCAAGAUUUCUAGAUUCUUCUUUCUUGUAUGUCUAGAUCAAUUUUUACACCUUCAAAUCCCUAUUUCAGAUUACUAGUUAAAUCACUGUAGUUCUAGAUUAAUUUCCUAGAUUCAUUAAUAUUUAUACCUAGAUUUCUAGUUAUUUUUUUCUACAUUCUUAGAUUCUUAGAUCCAUGUCUUCCUAAGCUACAAGUAUCCCUAGAUUUUUAGACACCAGAUAUUCUUAGACAAGUGUCCCUAGGUUACUGGAUGUCAGAUAUUCUUAGACAAAUAUCCCUAGAUUACUGGAUGUCAGAUAUUCUUAGACAAAUAUCCCUAGAUUACUGGACACCAGAUAUUCUUAGACAAAUAUCCCUAGACAAUUGUAAUCUCUACAGAAUAUCCUUGAUGUCAAAUAUCUCUGAACAUUAAAUGUUUGUAAAUUCCAAAUAUCACCAGAUUUCAAAUCUCUAUAUCUCUAAAUAUCCCUAGAGACCCACAUAGAUUUCUCUAAUUAUAAAUCUAAACUUCUCUAGUUACAAAAACUACCAAAUCUAGAUCUUAUUUUUAUCAUAAUCCCCUCGAUAUAAAACAUUAUCAAAAAGUAAUUAUCAAAUCAUUAAGAUAAUCCGAUAAAAAGUACAAGUACCGUUAUAAGUCAUCUGACAAAGAUGAAUUAAGAAAGUUUGAAACGGGUUUAAUGUCAAGUCCACUAGGAAGAUAACAAUUUGAACAAGUGCCAAAAACAUAUCACACUCUUGAAUCAGAUUAUAAAUAAUAGCUGAAACGCACAGGUUCUCUAAAUACAUUUUAACAACGAGCAGCACUCUCAAUGUAAACAUUGACUGAAUAUUGAAAUAGACGUACAUUUGAAUAGUUUGGUCAUCAGUUAGUUCCCACUAGUUGUUUCCGUUGUAUUCCGAUGUAUUGUCAUUUGAAACAGAGCUUCUAUUUCUUUGGUUCGAACAGGAAGUUCGAGGUCGAGGUUGACUCCAUUAAGUCGACAAUGUAAUCGUCGAAGUAUUUGAAAAUCGUGUGAUCGCAUGUAGGGUUAACGUUGCGCAGGGGAACUUGCGAAGGAACGAGCCUUAGCACUGCUGGGUGCUUCAACGCGGUCUUACGAAACAUGAAUUGGAGAUUUGGGAGG